CAGUCGCCACGGGAAUACGGAGGGGGCUAGCGUUGUUCGGAAUUACUGGGCGUAAAGCGCACGUAGGCGGCCGUUUAAGUUAGAGGUGAAAGCCCGGGGCUCAACCCCGGAAUUGCCUUUGAUACUGGACGGCUUGAAUCCGGGAGAGGUGAGUGGAAUUCCGAGUGUAGAGGUGAAAUUCGUAGAUAUUCGGAAGAACACCAGUGGCGAAGGCGGCUCACUGGACCGGCAUUGACGCUGAGGUGCGAAAGCGUGGGGAGCAAACAGGAUUAGAGACCCCGGUAGUCCCUGUCUCUUAUAA
rnacentral:rRNA from 1 species